AGAUUAAGUUAUUAAGGGCGCACGGUGGAUGCCUUGGCACUAGAAGCCGAUGAAGGACGUUACUAACGACGAUAUGCUUUGGGGAGCUGUAAGUAAGCUUUGAUCCAGAGAUUUCCGAAUGGGGAAACCCAGCAUGAGUUAUGUCAUGUUAUCGAUAUGUGAAUACAUAGCAUAUCUGAAGGUAGACGCGGAGAACUGAAACAUCUUAGUACCCGCAGGAAGAGAAAGAAAAAUCGAUUCCCUGAGUAGCGGCGAGCGAAACGGGAAGAGCCCAAACCAAUGAGCUUGCUUGUUGGGGUUGUAGGACACUCUAUACGGAGUUACAAAAGAAUAAACUAGACGAAUCAUCUGGAAAGAUGAAUCAAAGAAGGUAAUAAUCCUGUAGUCGAAAGUUU
rnacentral:rRNA from 2 species